AAUGCAUUCUGGUUACUGAUUUUGUGUUCAACAAAUGUUGGGCCUUCCUACUGGAGUGUGAUUUCAGUUUUUCUGACUAGAUAAGACAGCUAUUCUGCUUAUCAUAGAGCAGACUCUGCUUAUGUUCCAAGAUCUGUGAUUUGAUGACUUGACCAGCCCUGUGCCAUUCUGAUGUUGCUAACUAGCUAGUUGCUUUACACAGUUAUCAUAUUUUAUAAUGUCAAACUGGCACUGUCACAGGCCUGUCACUUAUAGACUUUAAGAAGUCUAUAAUUCAGUGGUUUCCUUAAAAUUUCUGGUGGUGCCUUUCAAAAUAUUCACAUGUUUAAGCCUCACUGAAUCAGAAUCUCCUGUUAGUCGAACCCAGAAACCCAUUGAUCUUGUCCCUCGCUUCUCUUUCAGAAACGAUACCACCCAAAUCAUCUUGCAAACCACAUGGAAAAUUGGGCAAAGGAAACAUCCUAUUGACAGCCACAAGCUUUCAUAAUUGCAUCCCUGUGACAAUGAACACAUUUCUACCAGGUCAAGCUUGCCUACCUGAUCCUGUCUUCUCAAUAUCUUCUUUGAACAACUUCAUGUGGUUGAAUUCCUGGUAAGCCCAUUAUACCAAGCCUGUGGGUGUGAUCAAGCACAUUUGAAUUCUAGUGGUGAAUGCUGUGCUUACUCUGACACCU
rnacentral:lncRNA from 1 species